GAUGAACGCUGGCGGCGUGCCUAAUACAUGCAAGUCGAGCGAACAGACGAGGAGCUUGCUCCUCUGACGUUAGCGGCGGACGGGUGAGUAACACGUGGAUAACCUACCUAUAUUACGGGGAUAACUUCGGGAAACCGGAGCUAAUACCGGAUAAUAUAUUGAACCGCAUGGUUCAAUAGUGAAUGACGGCUUUGCUGUCUCUUAUAGAUGGAUCCGCGUCGCAUUAGCUAGUUGGUAAGGUAACGGCUUACCAAGGCGACGAUGCGUAGCCGACCUGAGAGGGUGAUCGGCCACACUGGAACUGAGACACGGUCCAGACUCCUACGGGAGGCAGCAGUAGGGAAUCUUCCGCAAUGGGCGAAAGCCUGACGGAGCAACGCCGCGUGAGUGAUGAAGGUCUUCGGAUCGUAAAACUCUGUUAUUAGGGAAGAACAAAUGUGUAAGUAACUAUGCACGUCUUGACGGUACCUAAUCAGAAAGCCACGGCUAACUACGUG
rnacentral:rRNA from 1 species